GACAGAGGGUGCGAGCGUUGUUCGGAAUUACUGGGCGUAAAGCGCGCGCAGGCGGAUCCUGCAAGUCGGAAGUGAAAUGUGGCUGCUCAACGGCCACGCUGCUUCCGAAUACUGCGGAUCUGGGGACCGGUAGAGGCUGGUGGAAAUUGCAGGUGUAGCGGUGGAAUGCGUAGAGAUCUGCAAGAACACCCGUGGCGAAGGCGGCCAGCUGGGCCGGAUCCGACGCUGAGGCGCGAAAGCGUGGGGAGCAAACAGG
rnacentral:rRNA from 1 species